UGCCCGAGAACGGGCCCGAUCGUGGCGUUCCGGCGGUGCGGUUCGUGACAAGUCACGAUGCAAGGAGCGAGGUGAGCGCUGCUGUGUCCUUCGUUGCAGCGCAGCUCGUUAAAUUCUCGCCAUCCGGACGCCGCGCGGUGUGUCUGUCUGCCCCUUUGAUUGCGUUAGGCCUGGACUUCAGCUUCGGCGGCUGCUGGAGAUGUCCCGGGAGGAGAGCCGGCAGCCUGUGCCGGUGUUUGCCUGCCCCUAGAACAAAAAACCCGGUGUUGUCGUGUGCCUAACACUGCCCAGGGUGCUGCUGGCCUUUGCUGCAAGGUGAACGCCUUUGGUAAGAAAAAGGUGUGAUCUAGCAGUUCAGCAAAGCUGUCUGCGGUUAAAAAAGUAGGCGGUCGUAGCUGGGGAAAUAUGUCUUACAACUCAGAAAACACCAUACAGUUGUAAGGUGGUUUAAUUUAUUUCUUAACAUUGCCCAGGACACCCAAAAUGGCACAGCUGUGUGACUCUCUGUGCAGAUAUUCUGUGCAGAUAGCAGAGCUGGAAUAUUGCAGGAGUACCACCAGUCUCAGCGUGUCUUUAUGCUUGAAUUGCUGUGUAAGGAGUUCAGAAGCAGAAAAAAAGCUCCUUAGGUGGCAGUCUUGGAAUGGUAUGAGAGCAAUAAGGAUUGGAGUUACUGGCAAUAAUGAAGAUAAGUCAUGGAAGCCCAAUUAAAGCAUUUUGGUUUAAUCCUGCAAAUCAUCUCUGCACUCUGGAUCAUGUCAGUGGGGAAGAAUGCGGUGGUGUGUCUGGAACAGAGCUCUGAGUGCACCAGCAGUGCCUGGGCCAGACUGCAGUCCCGAUUUCCCUUUCUUGGAUGUGGACACUGCAUGGCAGCAAAAGGCAUGACGUACAGCAUUUGAAGAACCUGCAGUGUUGCCUCUAGCAAGUGGGUAGUGUUUCUGGAUGUUAUCAUGUGCAAAAUCUACUCUCGCGAUAGAGCUGCAUCUUAGUUCCCUAGUUAUUUUGAGCAGCUCAUAGGAAAGCCCACUGGGAACAAAUAGCAUCCUGACUGCACGCCUACAAAUGCAAACAAACACUCAGCUGGAUUCAGCAUGCUUAAACAACAUAAUCUGCUCAUUAUGAGGCCAUUAACAGCCUUCUUCUUAUUACUCCUUGCUAUCCCUGUUAGUUCACUGAUAAAACCAGCCAGUCUGAUUCAUCUGGACCAAUCCUCUGUGGAUGUAUGAAUGCUUCUUAGAAACUAAGUUCAUUCAAGGUUGCAGACCAGUUUCCUUUCAUUGUCUUCUGAGCAUCUUGGCUCUGCUCUUCUGUUCCAAAACCAGAUCUGGCAGCACUGAAGACAAGCAGCAGUCACAGUACGUAUUUGAGAGACUUUUAGAAAUGUGGCUGACAUUCUGCAGGCAGGACAGCUCCUUGUUUUCUGAGCACUGAUGUGCUUUUGUCCUUGGGCCAUCAUGCAGUCACAUGCAGGGGCAGGUACCGAGGUCUCCAGAGCUGAAGAUGUCAACAGCUAUGAAAUGACAAUGGUUAAUUUCUGGGAAAAAACAUUAUUCCAAGGCCGUGCCUGAACAUGGGGAAUCCGACAGACUGAUGAAAACAAUCAGUUCAUCUCUGAAUGGGAGAUGUGAACUUGAGACACGCUCUGUGUUGCUUCUGUUCUUGGCAGGAGUGGGGGCAGUCACUGAGCUGCUGACAGCUGCUUCCAGAGAGGAAUUUAAUGGAGGCUGAUGUCAGGAUUUGGCUGAAGAGCGGCACAUUAGCUUCAAAACCAUGAUCCUAACACAAGAAGCUGUAUUCAAAUUUCAGCAUAGCAACUGCCAGAGAGGUUAGGCCACAUGAGUGCAAGAUGCAUUUUGUGCCACAGGUGAAGAAGGCCAAUGUGCUGCAGCAUCACAGAGCUCCUCUGCGUGUAUCAUGGGGAUGGGGGGGCUUUGUCUGCCCCCUGGGUGUCAAAGACUGGGUGACGUCAGCUCUAGCCAUCGCAGAGGCUGUGGAGAAGGAAUACCAGUCCAUGUGCCUAGAAUUAUCAGUACACCUCUUGUCAAUAUUUUGAGCAGUAUUCAGAUUCUCAGAAACACCAUAGCUUAAGCUGAGGACGCAGUUCUGUGGUACUAGCACAGCAAAGCCAGGAUUGCCAUAGGCCCCAUGCUGCCACAGUUUGUGCUGCCAGCAGGGCAGAGCCACACAUUUGCUUUCGGUCUCAAAAAAACAGAAAUGCUUAUGCCCAGUUGGGGUUUUGUGUGAAUCCUAUUGAAGAGUAAAAACACAAACACAGCUCAUUUAGCUUUUUGUCAAGACUUUUGAGAUCUCUAAGCACAGACUGGCAGAGAACUGCCACUUGGAUUGCUCAGGACACACCCGGCUCCACUCACAUUGAGAGCACACCAGGGGAGCUGGACACCCACAGCACACUCUGUUUUAAGAUAACACGGGUCUUUUCUCUAUAUAGUGGUCACUCCAAUGGUUAUUUGCCUCACUUCUUGAUAUUACUUUCCGUUGUUUUUUUUUUUUAAAGUAUGCUAGGUUAUAUAAAUUUACGUUAUACCUAAAAAGCUUACUUGAAAUGCAUCAUGAAGCGCUAAUGAAGAUUUUUAUCCUUAAAAUCCACGACUCCUAAAAAAGUUGUGGGAGGGCAAGAAAUGUAUUUGUAAUCUGAGACAACAGGGAUUAGCCCCUUCCCCUUGCUAAUUCCCAGGCACGUGCAUUUGCAUAUAUUUUGAUUCAUGAAAGGUCCCCAAAGAGUUGUUCUGAAGGCUGGUUUCUUUUGAAUGUUGACUACAAAGGUGUUCAUGAGUGGUGGAGGAAUUUAUGAUGUCAGAAGAUACAAUAUCAAAAGCAGUGAGCUAUCCAAUGCUGAGCAUGGAAUAGUGGAGGAAUCCUUCAUUAGAUGGUUCAAAAUGCGGUGAUUGUUUGCAUAGCUCUGUAAUUAAUUCUGUGCUGUUUUUAAAGGAAUAACGAGGAUAUUGUCCUGGAGAUCUGUGUCAGGGAUGAUUAAAAACAAUCCAUCUAGUUUAAAGUGGCCAGAAAGCUGUGUAAUGUCCAAUUUAAUUCAACAGAAAUGAAAAGUUUAAGGAGGUGGGAAGCUGACAUUCAAAGGAUUGUAAUUUCAACUGAAAAGCAUUUCGGAUUCUCUUCGUGUAUGUGGUUUCAACUAAAGAGAACUAAACAUUCACUAUACAAAUGAAUAAAGCCUAGAUCUGUUAUCACAAGAAAUUUUUAAUAUGGUUUGUGACAAGCAAUAUCAAAGUUAUCAACUCUCAAGCUUCAUCUGAAACCAGACAACUCUCAGCAACAAAAAAUGUUGUGCACUGAUAAACAUAGGAGGCAUAUUGUAUUUUUUAAUUAAAUAUGAAAACAUGAGCUGUGUACAUUAUUUUUUCCCUAGAAAACACAGCAAUUUCAAAAGUUUAUCAUAAAAUAUUUUCAUGAAAUGAGUGAACCAGCAAACACAUGCACUUGUGUGCCUUCCCCCCUCCAAAGAUAAACGUGAUAAAGAGACAUACGCAAAUGUAGAAGUUAACAGAACAAGUGGCGUUUUGUUGUUGGUUGGUUCUUUUUGGAAAGGAUGGAAUGUAACAUUGUGCUCGACUUUCUAUGUCACAACAAAAAAUAUUUGGUGCAAUAUUUGAACAUUUUCUUUUUAAGUUUCAAUCUGGUGGAGAAAAAUACCCUUUUCUAUAAUAAAAUAUGUCUGUUCUUUUUAAAACGUAA